CGUUGCUUAUUUAUGUUGCAGAGUGUCACCAUCUUCAACACAAUUUCUCCAUCUUUUUUGAUUUAUUAUUUUCUUCUUCAAGACUGAUUCUUGGAAAGUCAAAAGAGUGGCAGCACAAUGGGAAGCAGAGGACACACGCUCAUGGAGGUUGGACCUGAUGGGGUUGCCGUCAUCACCAUUGUCAACCCUCCCGUUAAUUCUCUCUCCUAUGAUGUGUUGCGCAGUUUUAAGCAGAAUUUUGAUGAGGCUCUAAGCAGAGACGAUGUCAAGGCAUUUGUUGUUACUGGUGGAAAGGGAAAAUUUUCUGGAGGCUUUGAUAUUUCUGCAUUUGGUGAUAACGAGUCGAUAGAGCGUCCAAAACCUGGUUGGCUAUCGGUAGAAAUCAUCACUGAUACUAUAGAGGCGGCUAGGAAGCCAUUGGUUGCUGCCAUUGAUGGCCUUGCCUUGGGUGGGGGCUUAGAAAUUGCAAUGGCGUGCAAUGCUCGGUUAUCAACCCCAACUGCUCAGCUUGGUUUGCCUGAACUUCAGCUUGGAAUAAUUCCUGGACUUGGAGGAACACAGCGACUUCCUCGUCUUGUUGGUUUGGCAAAGGCACUUGAAAUGAUGCUGACUUCUAAACCAGUUAAAGGGAAGGAAGCUUUUAGUUUGGGGCUUGUAGAUGGAUUGACGUCGCCUGAUGAUCUGGUGAAAGCUGCACGACAGUGGGCCUUAGAUAUUGUAGGCCAUCGGCGACCAUGGAUCGCUAGUCUUUAUAAGACUGACAAAUUAGAACCCCUUGGAGAAGCAUUGGAGAUUUUGAAAUUUGCUCGAGCUCAGGCUCGAAAACGGGCUCCAAACCUCCAGCAUCCUUUGGUUUGCAUUGAUGUUAUUGAAGCAGGAGUAGUUGCUGGCCCCCGUGCAGGACUCUGGAAGGAAGCUGAAGCAUCUGAAAUACUUUCAAAGUCAGAUACCUGCAAAAGCUUAGUUCACAUAUUCUUUUCUCUAAGAGGAACGUCCAAGAUACCUGGGGUUACGGAUCUUGGUCUGGUUCCAAGAAACGUUAAGAAGGUUGCCGUCCUUGGUGGAGGACUAAUGGGCUCUGGAAUAGCAACAGCUUUAAUUCUUAGCAGCUAUCCCGUCAUCUUGAAAGAAGUAAAUGAGAAGUUCUUAGAUGCUGGUAUCAACAGGAUUAAAGCAAACUUACAGAGCCGUGUUAGGAAAGGCAAAUUGACCCAGGAAAAUUUUGAAAAGGCAGUCUCUCUUCUAGAAGGUACCCUUGAUUAUGGAAGCUUCGGAGAUGUGGACAUGGUCAUAGAGGCUGUUAUUGAGAAUGUUUCCUUAAAGCAGCAGAUCUUUGCUGAUCUUGAAAAGUAUUGUCCACCUCAUUGUAUACUAGCUAGUAACACUUCCACAAUCGACCUGAACCUGAUUGGAGAGAAAACCAAGUCUAAGGAUCGAAUUGUUGGAGCUCAUUUUUUCAGUCCUGCACAUGUUAUGCCGCUUCUGGAAAUUGUGCGUACCAACAAGACAUCUCCUCAAGUGAUAGUUGACGUGUUAUAUAUUUCAAAGAAGAUAAAGAAAACACCGGUGGUGGUAGGAAACUGCACAGGAUUUGCUGUUAACCGGAUGUUCUUCCCAUAUACCCAAGCCGGUCUCUUGCUCGUUGAACGUGGUGCAGAUGUUUAUCAAAUUGAUAAAGUAAUAAGCAAUUUUGGAAUGCCCAUGGGGCCUUUUAGAUUGGUUGACCUUGUCGGGUUUGGUGUGGCGAUUGCUACUGGUAUGCAAUUCAUUGAGAAUUUUCCCGAGAGAACUUAUAAAUCAAUGCUCAUUCCCCUUCUACAAGAAGAUAAGAGAGCUGGUGAAACAACUCGGAAAGGGUUUUAUUUGUAUGAUGAUAAACGCAAGGCUAGUCCUGAUACUGAAUUGAAAAACUAUAUUGAGAAGGCUAGGAGCAUUACUGGUGUCUCCGUUGAUCCUAAGCUUGUAAAGAUACAAGAAAAGGAAAUCAUUGAGAUGAUAUUCUUUCCUGUGGUGAACGAAGCUUGUCGGGUCCUUGGCGAAGGUAUUGCAGUCAAAGCCGCUGAUCUCGAUAUUGCCUCUGUCAUGGGCAUGGGUUUUCCACCUUACAGGGGAGGUAUCAUAUUCUGGGCUGACAGUCAUGGAUCCAAGUACAUAUAUUCAAAAUUGGAGAAAUGGUCAGAGUUGUAUGGAGAAUUCUUCGAGCCUUGUGCCUACUUGGCUGCAAGAGCUGCCAGAGGAAUUCCUCUGAGUGUCUCAGUGGAGCAGGCAAAUUCACGGUUAUAAAAAAUGAAUAGUUCAAUAAGUGCUUACUUGAUGGAACGGUCCUUUCAAACGCACUGCGGUGUUACUUGUCCAAACACUGGAAAUGUUCCCUGAUGAAAUCUCAGAACAUAACUCAGUGAAGACAAGGAGGUAGGUGAAGUGUUCAUGAGAGUGUUUUGCAAAUUUGUGAAAAAUGAUAGAAGAGUGGUUCUGGUCAGAUACAUUUAUUUGGGAUUUAUAAAAGGUCUCCUAUAUUAUAUGAG